CCUACGGGAGGCAGCAGUAGGGAAUCUUCCUCAAUGGGGGAAACCCUGAAGCAGCAACGCCGCGUGGGUGAUGCAGGUUUUCGGAUUGUAAACUCCUUUUGUUAGAGAAGAUAAUAACGGUAUCUAACGAAUAAGCACCGGCUAGCUCCGUACCAGCAGCCGCGGUAAUACGGAGGGUGCAAGCGUUCCCCGGAAUUAAUGGGCGUAAAGAGCGCGUAGGCGGUAUAGCAAGUCAGAUGUGAAAUCCCAUGGCUCAACCAUAGAACUUCAUUUGAAACUGUUAGUCUAGAGUAUGGGAGAGGUAGGUGGAAUUCCAUGUGUAGGGGUAAAAUCCGCAGAGAUCAAGAGGAAUACUCAUGGCGAAGGCGACCUGCUAGAACAUAACUGACGCUGAUGUGCGAAAGCGUGGGGAGCAAACAGGAUUAGAUACCCCGGUAGUC
rnacentral:rRNA from 1 species